rnacentral:lncRNA from 1 species
CCUGCUGAGCCCACAGAGUAGCUGGGAUUACAGAUGCGUGCCACCUCACCCAGUUACAUCUUCCUGAGGAUAGAGCCUACAUAGAAGUUCAGCAAAUAUCUGGUCUUUUCCACACCUGGGAAGAUGUGGGUAUAGGCCACUAUGUGUUUUCCUUUCAAAAUAAGGUGAAAGAAAACUAAAGAAAUACCAGUGCAGAAAGGAAGUUCUUUAUUUUCAGGUUGCUCAAGCUAAAACAAUAAGCAGCAUUUCAUGGAUGACUGGCAUGUCGCCUUUUACUCCUCAAGGCAGACUCAAGAGUUUUCCCAGAAACAGAGGACGAGCCCCUUGGCCAUGCAGCCCUAAGCCAGGCUGAUCCAGCCUUGUCUCGCCCCUCUCUGCAAGAGACUCGUGGGUACAGGAUGAUUGAGGGGGCCCCAGCCUCCCCAGCAGCUGCUGACUUGCGCUUGGAAAUUCAAUCCUCUCAAGAUACCUGAAGGCAGAGGGCGACCCUUUGACGUCUCAGGGCCAUAUAUCAGUUCCCUAACAGUGAAGCCCACAACAGGCAAGAAUUUCUGACAUGACAUGGGAAAAGCUGAAGAAGUCAGUCUUUGGGGUGUGUUUUCAUCUAGGAGGUGGCUUGAGAUGGAUUCAUGGCAAAUCACAAUAAAUUAUUUAUCAGAUAAUA